rnacentral:snRNA from 1 species
AUCGCUUCUCGGCCUUUUGGCUAAGAUCAAGUAUAGUAUCAAAGAGGAAAUAUAAGUGAUAUUCAGCAUGGUGUAAGUUUAAAAUAUAUGGUACAAUGACUUACGGACAUUGUGAAACAAUACAAUAAAUUUAGUUUACAACCAUCA